rnacentral:tRNA from 1 species
GAGGCUAUAGCUCAGUAGUAGAGUGCAUGCUUAGCGUACAUGAGCUCCUGAGUUCAAUCCUCAGUAUCUCCA